rnacentral:misc_RNA from 1 species
AGGAACUCGUCCUUUCCGUCGACCUACCGUGAGUGGAACAUGUCGCAUACGUCUGAGCGAAGAAACGAUGAUCAAUGGGCAGGAGAUCCCAAAAAUGGUCCUAGUGAAAGUGUUCAACAAACAUACGAUGGCCCUCCUGGCAUGGAGCCUGAGGGGGUCAUUGAAUCUAACUGGGAUGUUGUCGUUGACAACUUUGAUGAAAUGAACCUUAAAGAAGAAUUACUGCGUGGUAUUUAUGCUUAUGGCUUUGAAAAACCAUCUGCAAUUCAACAACGUGCCAUUCUGCCAUGUAUAAGAGGACAUGAUGUGAUUGCACAAGCACAGUCAGGUACUGGCAAGACUGCUACAUUUUCAAUCUCUAUUUUACAACAAAUUGAUACCAGUCUUAAAGAAUGUCAAGCUUUGAUUCUAGCCCCAACUCGUGAGCUUGCUCAACAAAUUCAAAAAGUUGUUAUUGCUUUGGGCGAUUUUAUGCAUGCAGAAUGUCAUGCAUGCAUUGGAGGUACCAAUGUACGCGAAGACAUGCGAAAAUUGGAUCAAGGUGUUCACAUAGUAGUUGGUACACCUGGUAGAGUUUAUGAUAUGAUUAGUCGACGGGCAUUACGAGCCAGUAGCAUCAAACUGUUUGUACUAGAUGAAGCUGAUGAAAUGCUCUCCCGUGGUUUCAAGGAUCAGAUUUAUGAUGUAUUUAAAUUAUUACCUCAGGAAGUACAGGUCAUAUUACUGUCUGCCACCAUGCCAUCAGAUGUGUUGGAUGUAUCCAAAUGCUUUAUGCGAAAUCCAAUUCGUAUCUUGGUUAAAAGAGAAGAACUUACACUAGAGGGUAUUAAACAGUUCUUCAUUUACGUUGAACGUGAAGAAUGGAAAUUCGACACUCUUUGUGACUUAUACGAUACAUUGAGUAUCACUCAAGCAGUUAUUUUCUGUAACACACGGCGUAAAGUAGAUUGGUUAACAGAAAAUAUGCGUACUCGUGACUUCACAGUUUCUGCUAUGCAUGGAGAUAUGGAACAGAAAGAAAGAGAUCUCAUUAUGAGGCAAUUUAGAACUGGAUCAUCUCGGGUCCUCAUAACAACCGAUCUUUUAGCACGUGGUAUUGAUGUUCAACAGGUUUCACUUGUUAUUAAUUAUGAUUUACCUUCCAAUCGUGAAAAUUACAUUCACAGAAUCGGUCGAGGUGGUCGUUUUGGUCGUAAGGGAGUGGCAAUUAACUUCGUAACAGAAGAAGACAAACGAACCUUGAAAGAUAUUGAACAAUUCUAUAAUACUAACAUCGAAGAAAUGCCAAUGAAUGUUGCAGAUUUGAUCUAAAUCUGACUAUUGGCUAUAAUUCAUUAUAAUUAAAAAAAAAAAAAAAAUAAAAGCAAUUUUGAGCGGUCCAGAAAUGAGGGAGAUAUUUUUGGAAAUAAAGACCAAAUUUCGUGAUUCAA